AAAUGAAUAGACGGGGACCCACACAAGCGGUGGAGCAUCUGGUUUAAUUCGAUAAUAAGCGGGAAACCUUACCUAGGCUUGACAUCCCAGUGAAUUUUCUAGAAAUAGAAAAGUGCCGCAAGGAUCUCUGGUGACAGGUGUUGCAUGGUUGUCGUCAGCUCGUGCCUUGAGGUGUUCGGUUAAGUCCGUCAACGAGCGCAACCCUAAUUAUGUGUUGUAUUUUUCACAUAAGACUGCCGGCUAAAAGUCGGAGGAAGGUUAGGAUGACGUCAAAUCAGCAUGACCCUUAUGCCUAGGGCUACACAGGUGCUACAAUGGACAGUACAACGGGCAGCGAAGUCGUAAGAUGGAGCCAAUCCCCCAAAACUGUUCUUAGUUCGGAUUGAGGGCUGAAACUCGCCCCCAUGAAGUCGGAAUCGCUAGUAACCGCGCAUCAUCCAUGGUGCGGUGAAUUCGUUCCUGGGUCUUGUACACACCGCCCGU
rnacentral:rRNA from 1 species